CUACUGCGAUUUAUUAGCAAA
rnacentral:snRNA from 1 species